UUGCUUCUUUGCUGACGAGUGGCGGACGGGUGAGUAAUGUCUGGGAAACUGCCUGAUGGAGGGGGAUAACUACUGGAAACGGUAGCUAAUACCGCAUAACGUCGCAAGACCAAAGAGGGGGACCUUCGGGCCUCUUGCCAUCGGAUGUGCCCAGAUGGGAUUAGCUAGUAGGUGGGGUAACGGCUCACCUAGGCGACGAUCCCUAGCUGGUCUGAGAGGAUGACCAGCCACACUGGAACUGAGACACGGUCCAGACUCCUACGGGAGGCAGCAGUGGGGAAUAUUGCACAAUGGGCGCAAGCCUGAUGCAGCCAUGCCGCGUGUAUGAAGAAGGCCUUCGGGUUGUAAAGUACUUUCAGCGGGGAGGAAGGGAGUAAAGUUAAUACCUUUGCUCAUUGACGUUACCCGCAGAAGAAGCACCGGCUAACUCCGUGCCAGCAGCCGCGGUAAUACGGAGGGUGCAAGCGUUAAUCGGAAUUACUGGGCGUAAAGCGCACGCAGGCGGUUUGUUAAGUCAGAUGUGAAAUCCCCGGGCUCAACCUGGGAACUGCAUCUGAUACUGGCAAGCUUGAGUCUCGUAGAGGGGGGUAGAAUUCCAGGUGUAGCGGUGAAAUGCGUAGAGAUCUGGAGGAAUACCGGUGGCGAAGGCGGCCCCCUGGACGAGACUGACGCUCAGGUGCGAAGCGUGGGGAGCAACAGGAUAGAUACCUGGUAGU
rnacentral:rRNA from 1 species